AUACGGAGGACGCGAGCGUUAUCCGGAUUCAUUGGGUUUAAAGGGAGCGUAGGCGGGAGCUUAAGUCAGCGGUUAAAUGGUGCGGCUCAACCGUGCCCUGCCGUUGAAACUGGGUUUCUUGAGAGUGCAAGAGGCGGAUGGAAUUCAUGGUGGAGCGGUGAAAUGCUUAGAUAUCAUGAAGAACUCCGAUUGCGAAGGCAGUCCGCUGGGGCACGUCUGACGCUGAUGCUCGAAGGUGCGGGAAUCAAACAGGAUUAGAUACCCUGGUAGUCCGCACGGUAAACGAUGAUUACCCGCUGUCGGCGGUAGACAGUCGGCGGCCAAGCGAAAGCGAUAAGUAAUCCACCUGGGGAGUACGCCGGCAACGGUGAAACUCAAAGGAAUUGACGGGG
rnacentral:rRNA from 1 species